rnacentral:misc_RNA from 1 species
GAUGAAGAACGUAGCGAAAUGCGAUAAGUAAUGUGAAUUGCAGAAUUCAGUGAAUCAUCGAAUCUUUGAACGCACAUUGCGCCCAUUGGUAUUCCGAGGGGCAUGCCUGUUCGAGCGUCAUUAUAACCCUCAAGCUCAGCUUGGUGUUGGGGCCUGCUGCACUGGCAGCCCUUAAAAUCAGUGGCGGCGCCAUCUGGCUCUAAGCGUAGUAAUUCUUCUCGCUAUGGAGUCCUGGUGGAUGCUUGCCAUCAACCCCCAAUUUUUCUAUGGUUGACCUCGGAUCAGGUAGGGAUACCCGCUGAACUUAAGCAUAUCAAUAAGCGGAGGA